CCCCCCUGAAAUCAUCCUCCACCCCCGAAACCCAUCCCCACCCCCAAAUCCAUCCUCUCUUCCUUCCCUUCCCUCGCUCGCCGAACCCAUCCCCACCCCCGAAGGAAGUGGCGGCACUAAACAAGUAAGGGCGUCUGGCACUAAACAUAAACACACCGUCUCCAGGCGGCACUGGGAAGAGGUACGUGACGGCGAGUUCCUGGAUGGAAGGCGGGUGGGUUUGGGUUUCGCGGGUUUCGGAUCUGCUUUUCACCGGUCAUUGGGUUUCGCGGGUUUCGGAUCUGCUUUCCACCGGUCAAUGACCUCGCGGGGACAAGCGAGGCUGACCAGACAGAGUAGCGUGCCCUCAGUCAUGCUGAUGGGAGACACGGCGUCGGCGGGAGGCUCUGGGCGGUGAUUGCACAAACGGGUUGCCGUCGAGGGGAUGGGUUUCGCGGGACAAAUUUGAAAGCAAAUGUAGUCCUGAAGCCAAUGUUUUGAUUUGAAUCAAAACGUGCGUUUUGAUUAAUUGAAAAAAAAAAAAAAAAGCCACGUAGGGUGUGUUUUGGUGUACACCGCUACAGUGGCUGAUCUGUAGACGGACUCUUGUUGCUGUUGGGCGAAAAACAGCCCACCAACAGGCUUGCUACACGUAAGACAAAGGAAUUUGUUCUACAAUAAAAUGAGAAGCAGCUGAUUAAUUCUUCCAAAAACCCGCUGCACCGAAUACGUUCGAAACCCACCCUUCCCCUUCGCGCCAUCGAUAAUUUGUCUAAGCAAACAUGGAUAGAUGAUGGUCUUUAAUUACUAGAAGGUAUUUUUUGUUUCUAGAAUCUCACAUAAGCUAGCAUUCGCAUUCCUUCUUCAGCAAAGAUGCAAGUCAUCGGUUCUGCUAUGGAACUAGAGAAGCACCAUGACUACCACCACCUUCUUGAUUCAGAAUCGGCUUUGCCUGUGGGAAAUGAUCUGAAGAAUGGAAGAAGAAGAGAAGGAGCCUCAGCCACUGUUAUGAUGCUGAUUGGUGGAGACAUAGAAGAUGAAGAUAAAAGAGUUAGGUUUCAAGAACAAGAAGACUUCAGGGCAGAUUGCGAAAUGAAGGAGGAGUUCGGGCUUGAGUAUGUCUCCAGCAGAUGUACCAAACGGUGCAGUUUCAGCAAGCAUCAAGGACCAAAACGACAUCACUUCAGUAAUGAGGAAAACGACGUAGCUUAAGUAAGUUGGGAGGGUUUAAAUGUAAUAAACCGUUAGUAUAAAACGGUGGGCUUUGGCUUUAAUUCUGGAAGUUAGUUAGGAGGGACUUGCAUGUAAUUUCCUUUGAAUCUGCUAAGUAUCAUGCCAGAAUGAGUGGGGAGGCCAUUCUGGAGCUUUUAUCUUGUAGCUGAAUACUUUUCUAUGGAGGAAUUGGGGACCUCGAAUACCCCAAGGCGUAUGAAGAUUUGAGGUAUUUUCAGCACUAGUCUAUCAUCAACUUACUAUCCUGUUCUAGCAUUUGUUAUAUAAUCUGGAAAAAGUAAGGGGAUCCUUACAGCCACUGCAAGUGAAUCCCACAAAUCCAAGCUCCCGAAGGGUAUGCCUGUUCAUAGGAAGGCUUAUCUGAACAAAUUUGCUCUUGCUGGUGCCAUUUUGGCUUCUACAAACUCUAUUCUAUUGGGCCAUGGAAUCACUUUCCAGUUUCCAUGUGGAGAUAUUGGGGCGAUGAGUACUGGCGCAGAGCUCUUCAUCAGGGAGUUUGGGUAAGGGAUGAGAUAUGGUGUAGAUAAGUGUACAGAUAAUCACAUAAUAUGUUGACGUGGCAAAAUGACAUUGGAGGGCUGGUUAUGGCCGGAUACCAGACCGGCUGAGGAUUUUCUUAUGAUUAAUGAUACUUACACAACACAUUUAACAACAUAUUUCAUAAUAUAUGUUGUAAAAUAAUGGUAUUUUUGUAAAAUGAUGUUAGCUUUAUAAGAUAUUUUACAAAAAUAUCCCUCAAUUUAAAAUAUUAUUAUGUAAAA